UGGGGAAUUUUGCGCAAUGGGGGAAACCCUGACGCAGCAACGCCGCGUGGAGGAUGAAGUCCCUUGGGACGUAAACUCCUUUCGAUCGGGAAGAUUAUGACGGUACCGAGAGAAGAAGCCCCGGCUAACUUCGUGCCAGCAGCCGCGGUAAUACGAAGGGGGCUAGCGUUGUUCGGAAUUACUGGGCGUAAAGGGCGCGUAGGCGGCGUCCCAAGUCAGGCGUGAAAGCCCCGGGCUCAACUCGGGAACUGCGCUUGAUACUGGGAUGCUUGAGUUCGGGAGAGGUGAGUGGAAUUCCCAGUGUAGAGGUGAAAUUCGUAGAUAUUGGGAAGAACACCGGUGGCGAAGGCGGCUCACUGGACCGAUACUGACGCUGAGGCGCGAAAGCGUGGGGAGCAAACAGGAUUAGAUACCCUGGUAGUCCACGCCGUAAACGAUGUGCGCUAGACGCUGGGAAGCUUGGCUUUUCGGUGUCGCAGCUAACGCAUUAAGCGCACCGCCUGGGGAGUACGGCCGCAAGGUUA
rnacentral:rRNA from 1 species